rnacentral:rRNA from 1 species
UACAGAGGGUGCAAGCGUUGUUCGGAAUUACUGGGCGUAAAGGGCUCGUAGGCGGCCAACUAAGUCGGACGUGAAAUCCCUCGGCUUAACCGGGGAACUGCGUCCGAUACUGGAUGGCUUGAGUUCGGGAGAGGGAUGCGGAAUUCCAGGUGUAGCGGUGAAAUGCGUAGAUAUCUGGAGGAACACCGGUGGCGAAGGCGGCAUCCUGGACCGACACUGACGCUGAGGAGCGAAAGCCAGGGGAGCAAAGCGGG